rnacentral:rRNA from 1 species
AUUGAACGCUGGCGGCAGGCCUAACACAUGCAAGUCGAACGAGUGGCGGACGGGUGAGUAAUGCUUGGGAAACUGGCCGAUGGAGGGGGAUAACUACUGGAAACUGUAGCUAAUACCGCAUACCAUCGGAUGAGCCCAAGUGGGAUUAGCUAGUUGGUGGGGUAAAGGCUCACCAAGGCGACGAUCUCUAGCUGGUCUGAGAGGAUGACAAGCCACACUGGGACUGUGACACGGCCCAGAAUCCUACGGGAGGCAGCAGGGGGGAAUAUUUCCCAAGGGGUGCAACCCUGACGCAGCCAUGGCGCGUGUAUGAAGAAGGCCUUCGGGUUGUAAAGUUCUUUCAGCGGCGAGGCGUUACUCGCAGAAGAAGCACCGGCUAACUCCGUGCCAGCCGCCGCGGUAAUUC